rnacentral:rRNA from 1 species
AACGCGAAGAACCUUACCUGGGUUUGACAUCUGCCGAAAAGCUCUGAGACUAGAUCCCCUUUUGUCGGUAUACAAGUGGUGCAUGGCUGUCGUCUGCUCGCGUCUCGAGAUGUCAGAUUAAGUCCCGCAUCCAGCGCAACCCUCGUCCUAUGUUGCCAGCUCGUAAUGUUGGGGACUCAUAUCAAACUGCCGGGGUCAACUCGGAGGAAAGGGGGGAUGACAUCAAGUCAUCUUGCCCCGUAUGUCCAGAGCUGCGCGCAUGCUACAAUGGCCGGUACAAAGGGCUGCGAUACCGCAAGGUGGAGCGAAUCCCAAAAAGCCGGUCUCAUCUCGGAUUGGAGUCUGCAACUCGACCCCAUGAAGUCAGACUCGCUAGUAAUCGCAUAUCAGAACGCUGCGGUGAAUACGUUCCCGGGCCUUGUACACACCG